rnacentral:rRNA from 1 species
UUGGUUGAUCCUGCCGGACCUGACUGCUAUCGUGAUUGGUACUAAGCCAUGCGAGUCGUUGUACAAUACAAGGCGGACUGCUCAGUAACACGUAGUUAACUUAACCUAUGGAUGGGAAUAACCUCGGGAAACUGAGAAUAAUACCCAAUGGGCCACAGUGCCUGGAAUGGCCUGUGGUUGAAAUGAUUUAUCGCCGUAGGAUAGGACUGCGGCCUAUCAGCUUGUUGGUGAGGUAAUGGCCCACCAAGGCUAUAACAGGUACGGGCUCUGAGAGGAGGGGCCCGGAGAUGGGUACUGAGACACGGACCCAGGCCCUAUGGGGCGCAGCAGGCGAGAAACCUUUGCAAUGUGCGAAAGCACGACAGGGUUAAUCCGAGUGUCUCCUGCUAAAGGAGUCUUUUGUCAGUUGUAGAAUCACUGGUGAAUAAGGGGUGGGCAAGUUCUGGUGUCAGCCGCCGCGGUAAAACCAGCACCUCGAGUGGUCAGGAGGUUUAUUGGGCCUANAGCAUCCGUAGCCGGUUGCAUAAGUUUUCGGUUACCUCUAUGCGCUUAACGUAUAGGCCGCCGAAAAUACUGUGCAGCUAGGGAGUGGGAGACG